AAAUAGAGUACCCGGGUAGUCCAUCGCCGUAAACGUUGGGCACUACGGUAGGUGGGGCUCAGUUCCACGAGUUCCGUGCCGCAGCAAACGCAUUAAGUGCCCCCGCCUGGGGAGUACGGCCGCAAGGCUAAAACUCAAAGGAAUUGACGGGGGGCCCGCACAAGCGGCGGAGCAUGCGGAUUAAUUCGAUGCAACGCGAAGAACCUUACCAAGGCUUGACAUGCACGGGAAGCCACCAGAGAUGGUGGUCUCUUUGGACACUCGUGCACAGGUGGUGCAUGGUUGUCGUCAGCUCGUGUCGUGAGAUGUUGGGUUAAGUCCCGCAACGAGCGCAACCCUCGUCCCAUGUUGCCAGCGGGUUAUGCCGGGGACUCAUGGGAGACUGCCGGGGUCAACUCGGAGGAAGGUGGGGAUGACGUCAAAUCAUCAUGCCCCUUAUGUCUUGGGCUUCACGCAUGCUACAAUGGCCGGUACAAAGGGCUGCGAUGCCGUAAGGUGGAGCGAAUCCCAAAAAGCCGGUCUCAGUUCGGAUUGGGGU
rnacentral:rRNA from 1 species